UUAUCAUAAAUUCCCUCUCUAUAUAAGGUCUCUGAGAAUAAGAGCUUUGUACAGGCCAUCUCUUUUCUGGAAGUCUCUUGAUUCUGCAAGAAUGGUGAGUCCUUACAUCUUGUAUUACGUCUUGUAAAAGACCAUGGUAUGUUGCCAUAGGUUUUAAAGGAGUUUCAGUUGGAUUUAUCUGAGUACUUGGCACAUUAGGAAACUUGGAGAAUGUAUAGAUUCUGUGUUAUGAGAGCAAGAGUCAAAGAGAGGCAAAGACAGGUAAGAACUUGGGGUGAAAAGUCUGGAUAAUAUCUGAACACUUCUCUGAACUCAAAAAAAGAGUAUCUUGAUUUUUACUCCUUUGUCACUCUGUUGCAGUUUUGUGGGUUUUAACCUCUCUUCUGCAAAAUUAAACACUAAAUUUGCCUCCUCUCAUCUCUCAGUAGUGAUUUCUUUUUAUAAGUCACCAGUCCUGUUCUGUCUGAAAUGACACACUUGCAUACAGUAUGUGUAUGUGAUUGUUUAUUCCUGGUCUACCAGGAAUAAACUUUUCUUCUUUUACCCUUCAAACAUUUCAAACUGAUAUUGAAACUUCAGCUGAAUUUUCAGGAAAAGGCCUCACUAACAAAGGUCACAGAAUAUAGAAUUACCUACGUCGUAAGUGACACCUGCAAGUAAGCUACAGGGCCAAGACCUGAGUGUUUAACUUCAGCUAAAGUUAUUUCACUUGUUCCUAAUCCUUCAAUAUUAGGGUGAAACAUUCUGUAGUUUACAGAUUUCAGUAAAGAAGUUUUUGCACCUGUGAGAUUAAUGGGAAAAACAGUUGGCGACAGAGCCUAUAGAUGAAAAAAAGGACUAGAAAAUUUAAUGGAUAAUAGGAAGGAGUAGAACACACUUUUUUCAUAAACAGUAGCUGGGUCUAGCAGUCCAAUGCUUGAUCUUAACAACUUGGAAAGACAGACAUUUUUUCCCCUCCCAUGUGAUGCUCUGCCUCUGCUUCUUCAAAAUGGUUCCAUAUUCCUGAUAGGUGUGUUAAAGUGUCUAAACUGUAAAAGACAAUUGGGUUUUAAUUUGAAACCACAAUAUAUUUUCCUGUUAUUUAUCAUCAAGACAUCUUAAUAGCUACUGAAGGAUUGAUAUGAAUUCUAUUUUCUUGUUCAGAACACCAUCUUGGCCUGCCUCCUUUCUCUUGCCAUCAGCAUGCCACAGUCUGAUGCUUCUUGUUUCUUUAUGCCAUUCAAGCCAGGGAUGUCUAAUGGUGUGGUUGUAGGUAAGAAGUCAACUCUCCACAACUUGACAGACAUAAUCAGAAUCACUGCUUGAUUUGUCCAUUCUGUGCAAUUCAUCACAAUUUAGAAAUAAGUGGCAACAGUGGAGAGGAAUCAAGGUGAAAUGGGAGGGAAAUGGGGUAUGGAGAGCAAUAUAAUAUAAUAUGUUAUUAAAAGAGCAAGUUAUUUGGGGAGCUUUACACAGACCAAAUUACUAAUGAUCUUUUUCCAGGGAAGUAGCAUAGUUUUAGUUUACUCAUCAGCAUGAAGGAGUAAAUAAUAUUUUUGCUGUGGAAUCACAUCUAGAAAUCAGAGAAGGGAGAAGCGUGAGUGUGUGUAGCCAGUAUAAACAGGAAACAGAUUUUCAAGUAUUCAGUGCCAUGCAAUUUACUCAUGUCUUGUUUCUGUAUCCCAAAACAAAUUCCUAAAAGCAGAAUGGCUUCAUCCCUUGAGUCUGCAUCUGCCCUUUCUGAGCACAGCUAGUCUGUCAGUCUAAAGAUGAGUGGAGCUGCAGGAAAAAAUGUUUCCAAAAGAGAAGCAUGCUAUUUUUUGGACACAACAGGAGUCGAUGUGUGCCAAUAUGCAAAAAAAACCUCUAAGUGGUCUAAAAUACAGCUUUACCUGGGAAAGCUGGUGCUACUACUUGGAGAAAUGAGUUAACAUCGCCAAAGAAAAGAACAUUUAUAGGCAAAGACACAACCUAGAAGCCCCACCACUCUCUCUUGUUCUGUUCUCAUAAAAUUCUUUCUUCUUUCCAGAUCAGUUAUUUAGGAGGCCUAUGGUCUAUUCUGUGACUUUUCAUCCAACAUUUGCUUUCUUCCUGCAGCUGAGGACUGGGAAGUUUUGUGACCAGAUGUAGUCUUUCUUUAAAGAAGGAGUCAGCAAGAGAUGGUGUUAAUAGGAAAGUCAAAGCCUUUUUUGAUUCUGGCCAGGCUGCCUUGAUGGGGAAGGAAAGGUUCAUGAGUUUGAUUCCAGCUGGAGGACCGAGGACUGCGAUGAUUGUUCCUGCUCCAAGACUGG